CUUUUUCACCCAACAAAACCCUGUCUUACUCAUUCAAAUUCAAAUUGUCUGUGAGCAUGAAUUUUCGUGGCCAUGGGACAAAAAACCCUGUCUUCAGCCGAACUAAGGAAAAGUCCCGCAGCAGUUCCUCCUUAGGGACUCUUCGAACGCACUGUCUUAGCCCAGGCUGCCUUAACAAAAUACCAUGGACAAGGUGGCUUGAAAAACACACAUGUAUUUUCCCACAGUUCUGGAGGCUGGAAGUUGGAGAUCAGGGUGUCAGCAUAUUCGAGUUCUGUGGAGGGAGAGAUCGCUUCCUGGCUUGUAGACAGUCACCUUCUCAAAAUGUCCUCACAGGGCCCUUCCUCUGUGUGCAUGCGGAGAGAUCGCUGGUCUUUCUCUUCUUAUAAAGACAAUGGGCCUACUGGGUUAAGGCCCCACCAUUAUGAUCUCACUUCACGUUUAUUACCUCCAUACAGGCCCCAUCUCCAAAUACGGUCACGCUGGGAUUUGCCCAACAUAAUGAAUUGGAGGGGAGCGGUGGGGCACGAUUCAGUCCACUGCACACCGUUCUCCUCUCCAGACCUCUCACUGGCAAGUCCUUUCAUCUCAAUUUCAGUUCUGUGAGGCCGUCCUACUAUUGUCUAUCACCCUGUUUGAUUUUUUUGUAGCCUCAUCAUUUAUUCAUUACAGUUUCUUAAGUUCUUUUUUUUAGGGAGCUUGUCAUUGCCUAGAAGAGUGCUGGGCACACAAUAGUGAUACUGAAUAUACAACUAAAAUCAUGUAAUAUAGCACAUGAGAUUCUUAAUGCUAAAAUUAAGACUUUUUAACAUGAAAAAUGCUCUUAAGGGCAGAAAUGAAGCAAAUUUCAGGCAAGAUGGCAGACAAGACUGAAACGGAUUCAUCCAUCAACUGCUACAGACUUAAAAAACAAAAUAUGCCCAAUGCAAAGCUGAGCUCAGGAAAUCCUCAGAUGCUAGAGAUAAAGACAAAAUCCAGUUGCAGAAGUGAGUUCCAGGUGAUGCCAGGAGACCCCAGGAAGUAUCAGAUUAGGUCACAAAACUAGGAAUAAGGUUUUAAUGUCUUCAGAAAAACAGAGCAUUUGGUGAGAGAAGGGAACUAAUCCGAGACUCCCGCAUACAACCAGGACACUUGAAGGGCUGCCUCACCUGUGAAAAAGAAACUGGAAAAAUCUCUUCAAAUCUGUCUGUGGAAACAGAAAGACAGCCUGGUGUUUGACAAAGCUCUCGGUGGGACAAACCUCCUCUGAGAAAUGGAAACCUAGGAAAUCAAAAGCCCAGAAAUUAAGGGAAAGCAUUAGUCUCAGAUAAUGAAAAGGAAACCCUUGGGGCCCGGGCCAAAGCAAAUGUAAAAACAUGAACACUUGCAUAAUCUCGUACAUGGGACUCACAGAAAAUGCAACCCCUAAUAUAGAUGAGCUCGCAAUGAAAAAUUAUCCACCACUGUGGCAAUGCAGUCACCAAAAGGAAGACUCAACAGACCAAUGAGCAUAGACACGAGCUGUGGAGGUAACAACUGGAAACAGAAGAAUAAAAUCUCAAGAUAAAUAAUUUAAAAAUACUUAACAUGGAAAAAUAUUUCACUUAAAAAAUAUAACUUUUAGAAAAAAUAUAGUAUCAUUAACUUAAAAAUUCAGUAGCUAGGUUGAACAAUAAAUUCACCACAAAUGAAAAGAGAAUUAGAGAUCUGGAUCACGGAGCUGGAAGAUGAAUGCAGAGGCAGCACAGGGAGGUAAAGCAAUGGAAAAGAUCGCAGGGAGUCCCAAGACCCGGGAUGCUCCCUCGAGUCACUCACAGGAGCUCCAGAGGAAAGGACAGAUCAUGGGGAAAGGCAAUAUUUGAAGCAACAAUGACUGGGAAUUUUUCAUAAUUAAGAAAGAUGUAAAUAUUCAGAGGGAAAAUGCAGAUCUAGACACUUUUCAGAAACACUAUGAAACUCCAAAGUCAAGGAAAAGAUUAAAAGCAACUAGAAACAAAAGACAGUUUACAAUAAAAGAUCCAAAUUAGAUGGAAAUUACAUGUCUCAUUAAUAAAAUAGAGGUCAGAGAAAAGGGUAAAAAAUGUUCAACAUGCUCAAAGAACAAAAGUUAUUCAUCUACAAUACAACUUAGUAAAAUUAUCAUUCAAAAAUAAAGACAAAUCAAAUGUAUUUGACUAAGACUGAAGGGUAUUUUUUUAACCCCUGGAUCAUCAACUUUACCAAAGGAUAAAAUUUAUUAAAAAUAUGAUCAGCUUGUCGAAAGAAUGAAUCAAUGACACUCUGUCUUCGUGGAGAGCAGCCUGGGUGUGGAAUCAGGCACCCCCGGGUUCAAAGCCAUCACUGUGAUUGAAGAACAGAAGUCAUUCGUGAAGGACACAGCACACACAGCCCAGAGAGCUCGCAGGUUAAAACUGCACAUGGAGCAAUGUCUGCCAGCCAUUCAGGGUACUUCAAAAUAGCAAACACAGUAUUCACAAUCAAGUUAUUUAGACCUUUUAGAUUGUAUACAAAUGACAUAGAAAAAUGUACAGCCAGUCCACUGGGUUGUAAUUUUAGAAACAAACAUCUCAAGUCAUAAUAAUAAAGUAGAGUUUUAA
rnacentral:lncRNA from 1 species